rnacentral:rRNA from 1 species
UAGGGAAUCUUCCGCAAUGGGCGAAAGCCUGACGGAGCAACGCCGCGUGAGUGAUGAAGGUCUUCGGAUCGUAAAACUCUGUUAUUAGGGAAGAACAAAUGUGUAAGUAACUAUGCACGUCUUGACGGUACCUAAUCAGAAAGCCACGGCUAACUACGUGCCAGCAGCCGCGGUAAUACGUAGGUGGCAAGCGUUAUCCGGAAUUAUUGGGCGUAAAGCGCGCGUAGGCGGUUGUUUAAGUCUGAUGUGAAAGCCCACGGCUCAACCGUGGAGGGGCAUUGGAAACUGGAAAACUUGAGUGCAGAAGAGGAAAGUGGAAUUCCAUGUGUAGCGGUGAAAUGCGCAGAGAUAUGGAGGAACACCAGUGGCGAAGGCGACUUUCUGGUCUGUAACUGACGCUGAUGUGCGAAAGCGUGGGGAUCAAACAGG